GGCCGCAGUGGACUACUGGGUACUUAUUUCUUACUAUAUGGUACCUAUGCAAUUUAUAUUUUUUGUCAGACGUCAUUACCUACUCUAUUAACACGUGAACGCCAUUAAUAGGGAUUUAAGCCAUAAUCAUUUCGUGUAUUUUUGACUUGGGCUAUGUCUAAAUCACAGUAUCACUGCAUCUAAUGCAUAGACAAGACGUGUACUGAUCUGAUGUGUUGUUUUUUGCGCGUUUAAAAAUUAAAACCAUUCGAAGUAGACCGAAGUUUUUUGUUUUUCCAAAAUUCAAAUAUCUACCAUAUUAAUAUAUAAUCCAAUUAUUUUUACCGACAGUGCGGUAACCUAACGACACAAGUAGCAACCAAUACUCGGCUGUAUACCAUUUUGGUAUUAAUAAGUGUCAAAUAGUUUGGAGUAUAAAAACACGUUUUUAGCGCGCAAUGAUGUCAUCAAAACCAAAGGUGCUAUUAAUACGUGGUGAUUUUCCAAAAAAAGCCAUCGAUUUAUUACGUACAAGGUGUGACGUCGAAGUGCUCAAAUGCAGCAACAAUAAUGGAUCGAUAACCUCGCAAGAUAUUAUUAAUUGUGUACCGGGCAUGUUUUCAAUUUUCUGUUAUGCCGGGAUACCAAUAAACGAACAGGUCCUAAAAGCAGCAGGUUAGUGUUGGUCGAUGAUAUUAUGCUCUU